AACUUUCCAGAGAUGGAUUGGUGCCUUCGGGAACUCUGAGACAGGUGCUGCAUGGCUGUCGUCAGCUCGUGUUGUGAAAUGUUGGGUUAAGUCCCGCAACGAGCGCAACCCUUAUCCUUUGUUGCCAGCGGUUAGGCCGGGAACUCAAAGGAGACUGCCAGUGAUAAACUGGAGGAAGGUGGGGAUGACGUCAAGUCAUCAUGGCCCUUACGAGUAGGGCUACACACGUGCUACAAUGGCGCAUACAAAGAGAAGCGACCUCGCGAGAGCAAGCGGACCUCAUAAAGUGCGUCGUAGUCCGGAUUGGAGUCUGCAACUCGACUCCAUGAAGUCGGAAUCGCUAGUAAUCGUGGAUCAGAAUGCCACGGUGAAUACGUUCCCGGGCCUUGUACACACCGCCCGUCACACCAUGGGAGUGGGUUGCAAAAGAAGUAGGUAGCUUAACCUUCGGGAGGGCGCUUACCACUUUGUGAUUCAUGACUGAGGUGAAGUCGUAACAAGGUAAGCGUAGUGCU
rnacentral:rRNA from 1 species